rnacentral:rRNA from 1 species
UACGUAGGGUGCGAGCGUUGUCCGGAAUUAUUGGGCGUAAAGGGCUCGUAGGCGGUUUGUCGCGUCGGGAGUGAAAACUCAGGGCUUAACCCUGAGCCUGCUUCCGAUACGGGCAGACUAGAGGUAUGCAGGGGAGAACGGAAUUCCUGGUGUAGCGGCGAAAUGCGCAGAUAUCAGGAGGAACACCGGUGGCGAAGGCGGUUCUCUGGGCAUUACCUGACGCUGAGGAGCGAAAGUGUGGGGAGCGAACAGG